rnacentral:tRNA from 1 species
UAGCGGUGUUAGGGCACUAAGAAUUUUGAUUUCUUAAGAGAGGUUCAUAUUCCUCCUGA